rnacentral:misc_RNA from 1 species
GAUGAAGAACGUAGCGAAAUGCGAUAAGUAAUGUGAAUUGCAGAAUUCAGUGAAUCAUCGAAUCUUUGAACGCACAUUGCGCCCUCUGGUAUUCCGGGGGGCAUGCCUGUUCGAGCGUCAUUAUAACCACUCAAGCUCUCGCUUGGUAUUGGGGCUCGCGGUUCCGCGGCCCCUAAAAUCAGUGGCGGUGCCUGUCGGCUCUACGCGUAGUAAUACUCCUCGCGAUUGAGUCCGGUAGGUCUACUUGCCAGCAACCCCCAAUUUUUACAGGUUGACCUCGGAUCAGGUAGGGAUACCCGCUGAACUUAAGCAUAUAAUAAGCGGAGGA